CCUGCCCCUUUGGAGCUACUCGCCCGGGGCAGGUCGCUCUGCGCCUCUGGGAGCCCCAGUUCCCCGCUGGCAAUUUGGAGCCCUGGGGGCCCUGGCCCACCCCACUCCCAGGGCCCCUCCACUCUCAGUUUUUCCCAAGGAAAGCCUGGGUGGUCUGAGGCCUGGCCUUCCCCCUUUGAGGGUCCGAAGAGUCCCUGAUCAUGGCCAGGGCCGGGCUCACUACAGAUGCCACUUCCACGUUCCCUGAGUGCCUCCUGUGUAUGCAUGGCCCUGGGCUCCUGGCUCCUUCUCCCUUGGGCGUGGAGGAGGUGGCAGGUCCACCCUCUCCCAGGUGAGGCCCCAGUGUUGAGUCUCACACCCCGGGUCACAGCACGGUGGGACUCCGGCUUGGACUCUCAACUUCACCCCCAUCUCCAGGGGGCUGGCGAGUGGAUAAGUACACCCCUCCCCAGGCGGGAGGGACACAGAGCUAGGGCUCCAGCUUCCAACCAGAGGUUCAGAGGGGGCCUACAGAGGAAGCUGACCCUCACAGCGCCACAGCCCUGGCCAAGGUGCACAGCGUCCCAUUUUCCGUGUCCCCUGGGAGGCCCAGUCCCCCUCCUGGAAGAUGCCUGGCCCUAAGUUGCUGUCUUCUUAUUCAAAUGGACUUCUGUUGGCUCAUACGGUCCCAUCAGCUGCAGUGGAUGUUUUGCAUAAUGACGAUUUGGAACUCAACCUAUUCUACUAGAAUGUCCAAUUUAAUGCCAAUUAAGUCUGGAAUUGAAUGAUGUUCUCUGGGAAUCCUGCACAGAUGAGCCUCAGUGGCGCUGGCUGCAGAGACCGUGAUCACUCACUUUGGCUUCUUGGAACCGCCCUAGCACAGGGCUGUGGGCUCCCUCACCUGGCCUGGCCCUCGGGCUACCCCUGCCACUGCCUUGAUGGGAGAAGCCGCUGGAUGGGCAGCCUCACGUGUGCUGGAAGAAGUCCUGGCCUGGAGCCCACAGGCCUGUCCCACACCUGUUCCAGGAAGCCUGCCUGGACUGCCCUCCAUCCGGAGUCUCCGACGUCUCCGUGCCUGUUCUGGUGAGGUCGUUCCAUGCUGGAACCUCUCUGGCUUUUGCAGAGAAGCUCUGAGGUCCUCUGGCUGACUUGCGUUCAUCCUGAAAACAUUAGGCUCCGGGUGGCCCAGUCUGUGUGCCGGAGUGUGGCGUGGAGGCUGGAGGCUCGCCCUGCUGUCAGCUGACCUGGGCUGGCGCCUGGGGGGCCCCUGGAACUGGUGACUUGGGGGGCUUGUAGGGGUGGCUAUCUCCCCGCUUUGGGUUGAUGUGAGUCACACACACGGUGCACGGGUGUGUGAGCCAGCCCCAGUCAACGAAGCUGUUAGGACUUUUGUAUUUAUUUUGGACAAUCACCAGGGGGGCCAGGGUGACUGCAGCAGAGUGGGCUGGGAGGGCAGAGAGCAGAAAGGGCCGGGUGAGGACUUGCCUCUUCCUGUAAGAUAGUGUGUCCUGAGCGUGGCCACCAGGCCUCCCUCACUGUCCCUAGGGUGAAGUCUAGCUCCUCUGCUGACCCCUGUGGAGUCCCAUGACUCCUCCAAAAGGCUCGAUUCCCACAGCCUCCCCUGGCUGGAGCAGCCCAAGCCGUGCAGGCUUGCGGAUCCCACGGGAUGUAGGGGCUCUGGGGUUGCCCCGGAAUCUUCCGAGAGUAGCCUCCUGGGUGCUCCAUCGUGGUGGGCUUCCCCAGAGAGUGCCUCACGUUUGGGGGCGAGGAGGGCACUUGCUGAAUGAAGGCCAAAAUGGGGCAGAAAAAUGCCCGUGCUGUGCAGAGCUGGCAUCUAAGGCCAUGCUGGCCCAUGAGCAUCUUCCUGUGUCCUGACAGCGGAACCCGGAGGCAGAGGGCUUGCCUGCCACUCUCACUCUGAGACUCUUCGAGAAUGAGCUUGGUGACCCUCCAGGCCCUGGCCCCGAUGGAACCUCCCUGGAGGGGGCUAUUGGCUGAUGUACUUGCCCCCGCUGAGACCUGGGCCUGCUGAAGAUGAGCCCCCAGCCCCAGGAGAGCCAGGAACGAUGCUAAAGCUUCCUGAUUCGUGACCCUGGCUAAGCAAAUGUAACGGCCCCAUUGACUCGCAGCCAUUGGAGAACUGAGCUUAAGAAUCUUUUGGCGGUCUGGAAACUUGGAAAAAGAAAGGGGCAACGUAUCCCACUUGAGCCAAGGCCAUACUUUCCCGGCUGCUCAGAAGACAUUUCUCUGUCUCCCCUGCUCUUCCCCAUCUUGAAUGUGGAUGUCCUGGCUGGGAACACAGCAGCCAACUCGUGAGUGUGGGUAACAAGCAGGGACAAAAGACCACCAGAGUCACAGAGACGCAGCUGCGGUGACACCGAGGCUGUUGGCCGGAGGUCAUCUCAGCUCCUAGCUGGGUAUUAGCUGGAGGCUGUCCUCAGUCCAGUGCCGUGGGCCUCCCCAGCUUGGCUGCGUGUGGCAGCAAAUCCAGCCAGGCGGUCCUCAGCAAGAGAGACAUCACAAUCUCACAGAUCCACUCGGCUCUCUUCUCUUCUGCGUCCUGCUCUAUGGCCUGGGAAGCUGAUCUCCAAGGAUCGCAUUCCUAGGGCUCUCUGGCCCAUGGGCUUCCCGUUGGGUUUGCCCAAUGGACAGCCAUGGCAGAAGAUCAAAGGGAAGAUGGCAGGAAGCUGUCCCCCACUCCUCGCCUGGCUGAGUUCUGGCGAUGGCUGCCAUCCAGGGUCCUGAGUCCCACCAGUUUUUACCCCUUGAAGUGAGAAAGAACACGUCUACAACCCUCCCUCAUUCCAGAGGCUGUGUUUUUGCCCUUUGGUCAUGCAGAUGGGGCUAAAGCGAAGUUACAACAUUGGAAAAUGUCUUCUUAACGUCACACUGAUCUCCUUAAGGCAACGAGCCCCACAUGCUCUCUGAGGCCUGUGCACGUGUUCUGAGGACCCAGUUAUGUGCUGCGUGAUUCCAGAGGUGAACAGACCCUCACAGAUCACCUCUCCUCACCCUCUCAUGAGAGGGAAACUGAGGCUCAGGGGGAGAAUUGGCAAAGGUUACACUUGGUGGUGGGUUUGGAAUCUGCCCUGUGGACGCCCGACUAACCAUUUCUGCCAGAUGCGCGUGGGAAGUAAAAUGGGAAGAGGUGCUCCAUAGGAGGAGGGGACGUGGGUACAGUCACGUGGACCCGUGAGCCGGUCACCUGCGAGGCACCAGGGCCUACAGGAAAGGUGCCCGCUGUCGGCUUCCGCAGGGAAUUUCGUUAUCUUUGUGAGGUAGGGUGGAACUUGCAUCCUGAACAUUAAAGUUUACAUGCCAAGGA